rnacentral:rRNA from 1 species
AACGAACGCUGGCGGCGUGCCUAACACAUGCAAGUCGAACGAGAAAUCCGACACUCAGGUAACUGAGUGUUAGAGAGUAAAGUGGCGCACGGGUGAGUAACGCGUGAGUAACCUACCCUUGAAACCGGGAUAACCCCGCGAAAGCGGGACUAAUACCGGAUGUGGUUCCAUCAGCCUCGGCUAUUGGAAUUAAAGGUGACCUCUUCAUGAAAGUUGCCGUUCAGGGAUGGGCUCGCGUACCAUUAGCUUGUUGGUAGGGUAAUGGCCUACCAAGGCUACGAUGGUUAGCUGGUCUGAGAGGAUGAUCAGCCACACUGGAACUGGAACACGGUCCAGACUCCUACGGGAGGCAGCAGUGAGGAAUUUUGCGCAAUGGGGGAAACCCUGACGCAGCAACGCCGCGUGAGCGAAGAAGGCCCUUGGGUCGUA